GUUUUGCCCAAGAGAGGCUCACAGUUUGGUGAGGAAGACAGAUGAUAAAAGAGGGCAGAUAGGUUUUGAGCUAGUGUAAUUAGUUUUAAAAGGAAAGUAAGCAUACAGACCUUUGGUAAUAAGAGAAGCAAGCACAUCAACUAAUCUUGGGGGGUAAAAAAAGAGAAGACUUCUCUUUUUUUAUCUGGUUCCUGAGAUAAGAACUGAAGGACAAAGAAAAGUGAACAGGAUGGAAAGAAGAAGAAAAGAUGCUCCUGGGAAAGCACAGCUUGAGAAAAUAUAUGGAGGUGCUAGGUUCCGAUUUUGGAGCCGUGUACAAUUCAUUCAUUGUACUGCCUACUUGGUACUACCUCCAUUUCAAAACCUGCCAUACUCAUCUAUAUGAAAGAGCUGCCAUGUUUCUAGAAGACUCCACUCUCUUAGAGUCCACUGGGCUUGAGUCACCCAACACAAGAUAGGCUCAGCGAUCACCACCCGAGGACUUUAACUUAAGAUCAAGUGGUGGCUGAAACUGUAAGAUGAUGAACUCAAGAAUUGUUUCCAGUAGUAAAGCCGGUGAUGUUCAAACAUGAUGCCCUUCCCAUCAAGAGAUGGGUCUGUGGCCCCUCCCUUGAAUCUAGCCAACACUUUUUGAUUAACUUGAUGAAUAAACUAUGGCAGAAGUGGCUUUCAAGGUUCUGUUAGAAAAGAUCAUGCACCCUCUGCCAUUUUUCCUUGGGACACCAAUCACUGAAGCCUUGAGCCACCAUGUAAGAAUUUUGGCUACCCUGAAAUUGCUAUACUAGAGUGACCACAUAGACAGACUACAGAGUGGUAGAGAGAGAGAUAGCAGAGGGGCACCGGCUAUCUCAUCCCUCAACCCAGGUGCCAGGUAUGAGAGUAAGAAAGAUGACUUCAACUGCAGCCAACAUCAGUCAAAUGGCAACCACAUGAAAAAACUGAGGAUUAGCCAACUGGCCGUGCCAAGGUAACCCUCAGAAUCAUGAGAGAUAAUAAUGAUAAAUGCUUGUUGAUGCAAUAAUAAAUAAGCAACAUAGAAAAGCUCUUCUGUAAAGAGAGAGAAA
rnacentral:lncRNA from 1 species